rnacentral:rRNA from 1 species
AUUGAACGCUGGCGGCAGGCUUAACACAUGCAAGUCGAGCGAGCGGCGGACGGGUGAGUAAUGUCUGGGAAACUGCCUGAUGGAGGGGGAUAACUACUGGAAACGGUAGCUAAUACCGCAUACCAUAAGAUGUGCCCAGGUGGGAUUAGCUAUGAGGUGGGGUAAUGGCUCACCUAGGCGACGAUCCCUAGCUGGUCUGAGAGGAUGACUAGCCACAAUGAAACUGCGACAGGGUCCAGACUCCUACGGGAGGGAGCCGUUGGGAAUAUUGCACGAUGGGCGCAAGCCGGAUACAGCCAUGCCGCGUGUGUGAAGAAGGCCUUCGGGUUUUAAAGCACUUUCAGCGAGGAGGCGUUACUCGCAGAAGAAGCACCGGCUAACUCCGUGCCAGCAGCCGCGGUAAUAC